ACUUUUAUACAUUAUAAAAUAGUGAUCCAAUUUUAUUCUCUUUUACACACAAAUAAAAAAUAAUAUGGCUGAAAUUUUUAAGUUUGUUUAUGUCAUAGUUCUAUAUUUUUCACUAUUUCUUGCUGCAAUGAAUAGUGAUGCAAUAAGCUGUGAGGCAGAUUUCGAUUGUCCACCAAAGAUGUGUGUGCUUCCUAAUGUUGUGAAGUGUAUUAGUAGAAAGUGUACAUGUAUUAAAAAAUAAAGAAAUAAUUAGUUCUUGCACUAGCAAAGAUCUAAAUAAUUAUGUCAUUUAAAGCUUUAGGCGGUAUCUAAUAAUUGAAGUUUUAGUUAUUUUUCUUUCUAAAUCUCUCGAACCUUUCGAUUAUUGAAUUGUAUUCUUAAGACAGAUUUUUUUAAAUUUACUAUUGGUUUUUCCA